GACGAACGCUGGCGGCGCGCCUAACACAUGCAAGUCGAACGAGCGAGAGAGAGCUUGCUUUCUUGAGCGAGUGGCGAACGGGUGAGUAACGCGUGAGGAACCUGCCUCAAAGAGGGGGACAACAGUUGGAAGCGACUGCUAAUACCGCAUAAGCCCACGGUGCCGCAUGGCACAGAGGGAAAAGGAGCAAUCCGCUUUGAGAUGGCCUCGCGUCCGAUUAGCUAGUUGGUGAGGUAACGGCCCACCAAGGCGACGAUCGGUAGCCGGACUGAGAGGUUGAACGGCCACAUUGGGACUGAGACACGGCCCAGACUCCUACGGGAGGCAGCAGUGGGGAAUAUUGCACAAUGGGGGAAAACCUGAUGCAGCGACGCCGCGUGGAGGAAGAAGGUCUUCGGAUUGUAAACUCCUGUUGUUGGGGAAGAUAAUGACGGUACCCAACAAGGAAGUGACGGCUAACUACGUG
rnacentral:rRNA from 1 species